rnacentral:rRNA from 4 species
CCGCCUGGGGAGUACGGCCGCAAGGUUAAAACUCAAAUGAAUUGACGGGGGCCCGCACAAGCGGUGGAGCAUGUGGUUUAAUUCGAUGCAACGCGAAGAACCUUACCUGGUCUUGACAUCCACAGAACUUUCCAGAGAUGGAUUGGUGCCUUCGGGAACUGUGAGACAGGUGCUGCAUGGCUGUCGUCAGCUCGUGUUGUGAAAUGUUGGGUUAAGUCCCGCAACGAGCGCAACCCUUAUCCUUUGUUGCCAGCGAUUAGGUCGGGAACUCAAAGGAGACUGCCAGU